rnacentral:piRNA from 1 species
UAUCCAGAAAUAUUGCUCUGUCUACACAAGC